AAAAAAAAUGAAAAAUAAAGAA
rnacentral:sRNA from 1 species